CCUACGGGCGGCUGCAGUGGGGAAUAUUGCACAAUGGGCGCAAGCCUGAUGCAGCCAUGCCGCGUGUGUGAAGAAGGCCUUCGGGUUGUAAAGCACUUUCAGCGGGGAGGAAGGCGGUGAGGUUAAUAACCUCAUCGAUUGACGUUACCCGCAGAAGAAGCACCGGCUAACUCCGUGCCAGCAGCCGCGGUAAUACGGAGGGUGCGAGCGUUAAUCGGAAUUGCUGGGCGUAAAGCGCACGCAGGCGGUCUGUCAAGUCGGAUGUGAAAUCCCCGGGCUCAACCUGGGAACUGCAUUCGAAACUGGCAGGCUAGAGUCUUGUAGAGGGGGGUAGAAUUCCAGGUGUAGCGGUGAAAUGCGUAGAGAUCUGGAGGAAUACCGGUGGCGAAGGCGGCCCCCUGGACAAAGACUGACGCUCAGGUGCGAAAGCGUGGGGAGCAAACAGGAUUAGAUACCCCAGUAGUC
rnacentral:rRNA from 1 species